UGAAUAUAAUGUUCGGAAGAAGGAUCCCUAGGAGCCUUUCCCAUAUCUCCAUAUGCCAGAAAUCGAACCUCAUCUGAUCCUCCAGCAGGUGGUGUUUUGAAGUCUAUUUUCCCACUCCAACCAGCUGAAUUACUGUAUUGGUUUAGCAGGGGAGAAAAAGAAAAUGAUAAUAUAUGUUAGUAAGCAUAUAUUGGUAUCAUCUAAAUCAUUUUUCAGAAUAAUGACUUAUUUUAUGGAAAAUAUUUUUCAAUGUAUUGGUUAGUGAGUACCUUCCAUAUUUGUAGGAAUAUAUAUAAUAUGCGGCAAAAUCAGAGGACUUAAAUUUUUUGCUAUCAAGCCACUUCGGAAGAAUACCUCGAGACCCUGAGGACAUGGAGUUGCGACCGAGGCCCCUCCCCCGGGGCUCGUCGAGGCCUGAGUCAAAGAAGAUGAAGAUAAAGGCUAGAGAAAAGAGGGAAACUCCCAAGACACGCAGUUCAGUCUAACAGAGCCGGCCUACCCAAUGCCUAUGUCGAAGCGUCACAUCUAACCGUUCCAUUUUCAUGCUUUCGCAAUUAAUGUAUGUUGUAAAUAACUGGACCCCCUAUAUAAUGGGAACCCACGCUACUUUGUAAGGGGCUAAUGUUGCUCCAACUAUUCUCCACAGGAUCAAUAAUAUCUCUCUCACUCUUUCUUCUCCCUAACUCGCUCGUUCUUAGUACCUCAAGGCCACGCUUAAUGUUUAUUAAUUUCAUGCUUGUUCUUCAUUUAUUGCUUGGUAUUAGCCAUUAAGAUCCCUCUUUAAUCAUAUUCAUAGUGUUAUCCCAUUCUCGAGAAUCUCGAUAGCUUGAACUCGAGUCGGAUAUUGACUUUGAGGCCUUCAUCAACCCAUCCGAAGCUCGGGAAACAAUCCCCUUGGUUUGAUUACUGUCCCGCUUUGGCUUCAUCUAUUCGUUAAACUUCAUAUUCUUAGUAUCAAUUGCUCUAAAAAAUAGCAAAAAAAUAAAUCACGUAUUUUUAGAGUCCCAUUUACAAAUUUAAUUAUCGUUACCAUUUUCACAGUAAACACUUUGGCGCCCACCGCAGGUAUAUAAAUAAUAAUGAUUAUUUUCUUGCUAGUUCCUUUACAAACACAAGUUAUCUUUCAUGAUUUUUCUUGAAACACAAGUUCUCCUGCCAAAUUAACGUGACGCAGGGACGCCCGACCGUUGCUAACAAAAUCGCAGGGCAUUACUUCGAAAAUAAUUGGUUAAAACAUGCUUCCCUCAACAGGAAAAUUGCUUCGACCAUGUCAGCAUGAAUCAAGAAGAUUCAAGCUAAUCAGCCUACGAGCUAAAAACCUUACGAGGUGCUCAAAUAUCACCGCUAACGAGUUGAAAUCGAGGUUCUUCCAGAAAUGACUACGGGUCAGGCAAAAUUAUUUCAAAAAGAACUUAAUGAGAGGAAAACAAAGCCUAUAAUAUGCCCAUGGGAAAAAGCGUAAGAGCUAUUGUCGCCAGCCAAACGAGCCUCCGGGCCACUCACUAAAAGGUCAUAACGACCAACAACGUAAGAUCCACUAUCGUCAGCUUGAAAACUGUAAACUUGAGGAUUAAAAUGAGCUUGCGUCGUAACCUGAUUUGGAGAUCAGAUCCAAAAUAGUUAACUACAUAUGCCUAAGGGCACAACUUAAGUGCCAUCGUCGCUAGCCAAACGAGCCACAAGGCCACACACUUAAAAGGUAGCCUCAAUCCGAGGCAUAUAAAAGCUACUUAUGCCUGAUUUGGAGAUCAGAUCCAAAAUAGUUAACUAUACAUGCCUAAGGGCACAACUUAAGUGCCAUCGUCGCCAGCCAAACGAGCCACAAGGCCACACACCUAAAAGGUAGCCUCAAUCCGAGGCAUAUAAAAGCUACUUUCAUCAUCCGCCCGUGCAGGAGCAGGAGAUUAAAGGUCAAGUUAGCUCGGGUCAAAAACCUGAAUCGGAGACUCAACCCAAAAUAGUUGGGCAAAGCGUAAGAGCUAUAAUGGCAGCUUGCACUAAAUGCCGCAUCUACCGAGAAUACAAGAGCCCGCGGGAUUGCCUGGCGAACUCCGAAACCAGCCCGCCGGUCAAAAGCAAUACAAAGGGAGAUAAAAGGCAGAUAAAAGUUCAAGUUUCUUUUCUUUUAAGAAGCGCAAAAGUUUGCGGUUUCCGUAUACGAACAUGCUCUGCAAACAACAAAUACAAUGCGGAAACAUCUACGCUCCAUUCCAGAAGGCUACGACAUACCAGCCCAGUUUUUCUCCCCAUGUCAUUGGCAAGAAAUAAACCGAGCAUCAUGCUCAUCUGCCUUGCCUUAACCAUUUCUUCUAGGAGGACAAAGUCCCUGGCGCUGAUCUCUUCAAGAACCUCUCCUCAGGAUCUACAACAAACAUAUCCCUUGAUCCUUUUCUCAUGAUAGAGGGCCUUCUCCAACUGAACUCGAACAUCAGUGACGUCCUUCAAAUAGAUCACCAUUUCCUCAUAAACCUUGGUCCGGAUCAAUGCCGCUUCUGUUCGAUCAUUGAUUAUUUUGACCUAGACCUUCGAGAUCAGACUCUAGCUUCGCAAUCUUAUCCAAUGGAACCGAAGCUUGAGCCUGCACCUGAGCCCUCAGUUCACCACAAGCAUUCCUGACUCGGCCGACUUCGCCCGUAAAGUACUCCUAAGCCUUCGCCUUUUUUCUGAACUAAGGAGUAAGCAAAAUCUUAACCUUAAAGGUUAGAAAAGUGAAACUCUUACUACGAAAGAUCACAUGCCCCAUCAAAUAGCUCUUGUAAUUCGAGCUCCGCUACGCCCAUAUCGCUAGUGCAUCAACUCAACCUCUUUCUCCUCGCUAAGGAGCCUAAGGGACUUGCCCUCAUCCAGAGCUCCCCGGGUCUAGCCCCAUGGCGGAGCAGCUCCAACCUGAGCCUAUCAAAGUCCUACAGAGGGAAAAAAGGGAAGACACGAGAUGCAGAAGGACUAUAGCGAAGCUCACCGCGAAGUACAUCUGGUGGACUUCCACGAAGACCGAAGCACAUCCCUGUUGGCCUAGCCUCCUCGGCCUUGGAAAGAAUCGACCUCGGCUGAAGCAUGAUCACUCGGAGGAACCAUCGCUCCGGAAUUAAAAACUUCAAGAACGGCAAGCUCGGGCGAUGUUCUGUCACCGGAGACAUGGACAGAUUUAGCCCAGCUAAACGCCCAUUGAACUACGAGUGCAUAUCCCAUUUAUCACCAUCGUCCUCUAGUUCGGAAGCCUACAACUCCUCCGGAAUUGAGAAGGGGGAGGAGUUGUAGGGUUUAUAAGCAAUUGCUCUUCUUCCAGCUCUUAAAGAGUUGAGAAGAAAGCAAGCCUCGCGCCGCUGCCGUCGUCGCUCGCUCGGCUUUGGCUUCGGUUUCGGCUUCAGAUUCGGAUUCGGAUUCGGAUUCGGAUUUGGUCAAAUGAUUGAUUGAUUAACUUUUUGGACCAAAUUCAUUUUUUAAUAGUAAAAUAUUAACAAAAUUGUGUUAUUAAAUAUUUGUUAAUAACAGAAUAUUAAUAUUAAAUCCAAUCCGUUUUUCUAUUUUUGUAACAGAAAAUUAACUACCCAUUAAUUUUCCCUCUUUAUUGUUGAGUAAAUAUCCAUUUAUGUAAUGGCAUUCAUGGUGUGAUAGUUUUGCAGAAACAUCUAUUCUGAAGAGUUUUACCUCUUCAGAUUCCAGCCCAAAUUUUGGCUAUAAAUACAACACUAUUUUAUGCUGUGGCAGUUUUGCAGAAAGAGCCAUUCUGAAGAGUUUCACCUCUUCAGAAUUCAGCCCAAGUUUGGAUAUAAAUACAACACUAUUCUGCUCAGAAUUUCACUACGAAUUUCUGAGUUUUUUCUCCUUCUUCUGCAUACUUUUAGCAUACAAACAAAGCAAAAAGUUAAAUAUGAUUUGCUACUAAUCAUGUGACAUAACUUAUGUCGCCUAUGUGAAAUAUGGAAUCUAUAUUUCCAGAAGAUACUUCAUCUGCCAAAGCCUUCGUCACCGCCAAAGAUCCUGGCUACGUUAAAGUAAUUGAACUAUUUAUAAAUUGUUUAAAGUUCGGUUUAAUUUGUACCUUAAAGUAACAAAGAGGAAUACGUUCUUUGCGACUUUAAUGUAAGAUUCAGCGACCGUAUGCCUAAUUUUUAUAAUGUUCGGAAGAAGGAUCCCUAGGAGCCUUUCCCAUAUCUCCAUAUGCCAGAAAUCGAACCUCAUCUGAUCCUCCAGCAGGUGGUGUUUUGAAGUCUAUUUUCCCACUCCAACCAGCUGAAUUACUGUAUUGGUUUAGCAGGGGAAAAAGAAGUAGAUGAUGAUAUACGUAUAUGUUAGAAAGCAUAUAUUGGGAAAUGAC
rnacentral:lncRNA from 1 species